rnacentral:rRNA from 1 species
AGUCAACAUGCCCAGGGGACGUGGAUAACCUCGGGAAACUGAGGAUAAACCACGAUAGGCCAUAAUUCCUGGAAUGGUUUAUGACUGAAACCUAUAUGGCCCCUGGAUUGGACUGCGGCCGAUCAGGCUGUUGGUGAGGUAAUGGCCCACCAAACCUAUAACCGGUACGGGCUCUGAGAGGAGAAGCCCGGAGAUGGGCACUGAGACAAGGGCCCAGGCCCUAUGGGGCGCAGCAGGCGCGAAACCUCUGCAAUAGGCGAAAGCCUGACAGGGUUACUCUGAGUGGUUCCCGCUAAGGGGACCUUUUGGCACCUCUAAAAAUGGUGCAGAAUAAGGGGUGGGCAAGCCUGGUGUCAGCCGCCGCGGUAAUACCAGCACCCCGAGUGGUCGGGACGAUUAUUGGGCCUAAAGCAUCCGUAGCCGGUCAUGCAAGUCUUCCGUUAAAUCCACCCGCUCAACGGUUGGGCUGCGGAGGAUACUACGUGGCUAGGAGGCGGGAGAGGCAAGCGGUACUCAGUGGGUAGGGGUAAAAUCCUUUGAUCCAUUGAAGACCACCAGUGGCGAAGGCGGCUUGCCAGAACGCGCUCGACGGUGAGGGAUGAAAGCUGGGGGAGCAAACCGGAUUAGAUACCCGGGUAGUCCCAGCUGUAAACGAUGCAGACUCGGUGAUGGGAUGGCCUCGAGCUAUCCCAGUGCCGCAGGGAAGCCGUUAAGUCUGCCGCCUGGGGAGUACGGUCGCAAGACUGAAACU